rnacentral:misc_RNA from 1 species
GAUGAAGAACGCAGCGAAAUGCGAUAAGUAAUGUGAAUUGCAGAAUUCAGUGAAUCAUCGAAUCUUUGAACGCACCUUGCGCCCUUUGGCCAUUCCGAAGGGCAUGCCUGUUUGAGUAUCAUGAACACCUCAACUCUCAUAAUGAGCUUGGAUUUGGGGGUCUUGCUGGCCUGUGGUCGGCUCCUCUCAAAUGGAUCAGCUUGCCAGUGUUUGGUGGCAUCACAGGUGUGAUAACUAUCUGCGCUUGUGGUUUUCCAUCAGAUAACCUUCAGUGAUGGAGGUUCGCUGGAGCUCAUAAACGUCUCCCCUAAGCGGGGACAGCCCUUUGAAUGUUUGAUCUCAAAUCAGGUAGGACUACCCGCUGAACUUAAGCAUAUCAAUAAGCGGAGGA